rnacentral:rRNA from 1 species
CCUACGGGAGACAGCAGUGGGGAAUAUUGGGCAAUGGGCGCAAGCCUGACCCAGCAACGCCGCGUGAAGGAAGAAGGCUCUCGGGUUGGAAACUUCUUUUAUCAGGGACGAAGCAAGUGACGGUACCGGAUGAAUAAGCCACGGCUAACUACGGGCCAGCAGCCGCGGUAAUACGUAGGUGGCAAGCGUUAUCCGGAUUUACUGGGUGUAAAGGGCGUGUAGGCGGGAAAGCAAGUCAGAUGUGAAAACCAUGGGCUCAACCUGUGGCCUGCAUUUGAAACUGUUUUUCUUGAGUACUGGGGAGGCAGUCGGAAUUCCUAGUGUAGCGGUGAAAUGCGUAGAUAUUAGGCGGAACCCCAGUGGCGCAGGCGGUCUGCUGGACAGCAACUGACGCUGAGGCGCGAAAGCGUGGGGAGCAAACAGGAUUAGAUACCCUGGUAGUC